CCUGGCGGCCUUAGCGCGGUGGUCCCACCUGACCCCAUGCCGAACUCAGAAGUGAAACGCCGUAGCGCCGAUGGUAGUGUGGGGUCUCCCCAUGUGAGAGUAGGGAACUGCCAGAC
rnacentral:rRNA from 1 species